GACGAACGCUGGCGGCGUGCUUAACACAUGCAAGUCGAACGGAAAGGCCCUGCUUUUGUGGGGUGCUCGAGUGGCGAACGGGUGAGUAACACGUGAGUAACCUGCCCUUGACUUUGGGAUAACUUCAGGAAACUGGGGCUAAUACCGGAUAGGAGCUCCUGCUGCAGGGUGGGGGUUGGAAAGUUUCGGCGGUUGGGGAUGGACGCGCGGCUUAUGAGCUUGUUGGUGGGGUAGUGGCUUACCAAGGCUUUGACGGGUAGCCGGCCGGAGAGGGUGACCGGCCACAUUGGGACUAAGAUAGGGCGCAGACUCCUACGGGAGGCAGCAGUGGGGAAUAUUGCCCAAUGGGCGGAAGCCUGAUGCAGCAACGCCGCGUGCGGGAUGACGGCCUUCGGGUUGUAAACCGCUUUCGCCUGUGACGAAGCGUGAGUGACGGUAAUGGGUAAAGAAGCACCGGCUAACUACGUG
rnacentral:rRNA from 1 species